UUUAGAAUUUUUAGAGCUUAUUUGGGCAGUUUUUGCAAAAAUGGUCAAUUAUAGGGACUAAAUUGAAAUUUUACAUGUUGUGAUGGAUGAUUGAAUUGGUGGGCCCAGGAGGGGCUGUGUGAUGUGAUUGAGUUGUGGACAUAUGGAUUGUGAAUAUAGAAGUGUGUUUUGAGCCCUUUUGCAGGUUGGGUAGGUCCUAGGUAUAGGGGAGACUCUGCCGGAUUUUCGGCACGACUUAGGACGUAUUGGUCUUUUUCUUUGUUUGUAUUGAGUCAAAUUUAUUAAAUGAUUGUAAUAAAAUUAUCAGGUGAGCCGGGACAGCCUUCUUCCUCCGCCCAGCCGCCACAGUGAUUGUCGUCAAGUCUGUAUCCUCAAUUUGCGAAAAUUCGACAGUUGUCCGGAUUUGUGAAUUUCCGGCCAGACAGACCAGCUACCGGAAAAGUCUCCGAAUUGGAUCGAGGUUUUGGCUACCCCACCAUUGUCAGGCAUCCCGAGCGUUUUCCCGAAGUCGGAAUCGGCAAAGGUGAGCCGGGACAGCCUUCUUCCUCCGCCCAGCCGUCACAGUGAUUGUCGUCAAGUCUCUGAGUAAAAUAUUAAUUUUAAUUGUAAUUUCGAUAUUAUUAUAUGUUCAGCAUGCCCAUGCAUCACUUAUAUGCAUAUAAUUAUGUAGUUAAACUCUAGGCACGAUUUAUGUUGCAUUGAUAACUGUUAAAGUGCCAUGAAUGUUGUUGCGGUAAUUUGGAGCAGUG